AUAGAACAAAUGUUGGUGGUUUUAAUUCACCAUGAUGGAGGACUUAUAUAAAUAAAGAAAUUGAUUAUUGACCACGAUGAAAACGUAUUUGGCUUUUGUUCACCAUUCCCUUGAGGCUGAGCUAUUUACGAACUGAUAUUCUACUUCGUCAGAACUGCUUUAUAACUGAGGAAAUAUUAAGAUGCGAUGUUUCAAUCUCCAGUGUCUCCAACGAUAACACGAAGUUUAUCCACAGCAGCCUUAGAUUUUGGGUCAAGUUUUGUUCCUACUGAGUUGGAAAACAAUAUUGCUGCGAACAGUGUCACAAUCCCACUUACUGGUGUCACCAUGUUGAAAUUUUGACAGAAUAUGUUUGUCAUGAGGUUUCUUUUUUGUUUUUUCAAUAUUGAACAACUUCUGACCACUGACGUUUGCAUUUUCCCAUUCUCCGUGGGAUUUUUUGUAAUGAGUGUCCCAUUCUGAAUAAAAGGUCAACAAGUUUCUUUUCAACAACAUCUGUAAGUAUUUCUGCAGAUACGAGUUAUUAAUUUUUCUCUUGACUGCAUCUAAAGGUUAUAAAAUUAUUAAUAUCAAAUUGGUUCUUUAAUUAGAGUUUUGACAACUAAAAUUGUUGAAGAUCAAA